rnacentral:rRNA from 1 species
AGUGAACGUUGGCGGCGUGGAUUAGGCAUGCAAGUCGAGCGAGAACCGUAACAAUACGGGGACAGCGGCGAAAGGGACAGUAAUGUGUAGGUACCUACCCCGAGGUCUGGGAUAGCUGCGGGAAACUGCAGGUAAUACCGGAUAAUGUCUUCGGACCAAAGGUGUGAUUCCACCUUGGGAGGGGCCUGCAUCCUAUUAGCUAGUUGGCGGGGUAAUGGCCCACCAAGGCAACGAUGGGUAGCGGGUGUGAGAGCACGACCCGCGUCAUUGGGACGGAGACAAUGCCCAGACACCUACGGGUGGCUGCAGUCGAGGAUGUUCGGCAAUGGGCGCAAGCCGGACCGAGCGACGCCGCGUGCGGGAUGAAGGCCUUCGGGUUGUAAACCGCUGUCGUAGAGGAGGAAAUGCAGGGGGGUUCUCCCUUCUGUUUGACCUAUUCUAGGAGGAAGGACGGGCUAAGCUCGUGCCAGCCGCCGCCGUAA